rnacentral:snRNA from 11 species
CAUGCGGUGGCUAACUUAUAUCGAACAUGGUUCUUGCCUUUUACCAGAACCAUCCGGGUGUUGUCUCCAUUUUCUCUAAAACAGGUAGCGCUGUCCUUGGGCUUCGUCCUUGUCCUCCGAAC